rnacentral:rRNA from 1 species
UACGGAGGAUGCGAGCGUUAUCCGGAUUUAUUGGGUUUAAAGGGUGCGUAGGCGGUCCGGAAAGUCAGCGGUAAAAGCCCGGGGCUCAACCCCGGCGAGCCGUUGAAACUGUCGGACUAGAGACGGCGAGAAGUACGCGGAAUGCGCGGUGUAGCGGUGAAAUGCAUAGAUAUCACGCAGAACUCCGAUUGCGAAGGCAGCUUACUAAGCCAUAACUGACACUGAAGCACGAAAGCGUGGGGAUCAAACAGG